GGUCACAAUGUGGCAUCAGGAGACUGUCAGCUAGGAGCAUCCCUGCCUAAGGGAUGCUGUCUUCCUGUUGUCUGAAACUCAGUCUCUAGAAAUCCUGGCGUGGCCUGUCCACAAGGAGGCAGUGUUCGCAUGUGGUUAAGAGCAUAGGUCUUCCUCCAGUCUGUCCGUUCACCCAACCUGUGUCCUAGUUUUCCUGCCUGUGAAAUGGGGGUGCUAAUAGUAGUUUUGGGGGGAGGGGAAGAGUGGGUGACUGGGCUUUUAGCAGAGGUUCAGUGUGAGUUACUGUAUCCCUUUUCAACUGCUGUGUGACAAACCCGCCUGACACUUUGGGCAGCUCAGAGCAUGACUGCUGGCUUCCCUCAGAGCAAGAGAACGUAAAGAUAGACGGGACCCUCCAGACCUCCCUAACCGAGUCGCAGAGUUCUUCCAGGAGUGGGGUACAAAUGGAGGCUUGUGAAGAAUUUGCCCACUCUUUCUCUAAUUUUAGAAUUCCUGGCCCUUAAAUAAAGGUGAUGCUUAUGGGCGCCAUAAUACAA